AGAGUUUGAUCAUGGCUCAGAUUGAACGCUGGUGGUAUGCUUAACACAUGCAAGUCGAACGGUAACAUUGGAGCUUGCUCCAGAUGACGAGUGGCGGACGGGUGAGUAACGCGUAGGAAUCUGCCUAGUAGUGGGGGACAACAUGUGGAAACGCAUGCUAAUACCGCAUACGCCCUACGGGGGAAAGCGAGGGAUCUUCGGACCUCGCGCUAUUAGAUGAGCCUGCGUUAGAUUAGCUAGUUGGUGGGGUAAUGGCCUACCAAGGCGACGAUCUAUAGCUGGUCUGAGAGGACGAUCAGCCACACUGGGACUGAGACACGGCCCAGACUCCUACGGGAGGCAGCAGUGGGGAAUAUUGGACAAUGGGCGAAAGCCUGAUCCAGCAAUACCACGUGUGUGAAGAAGGCCUGAGGGUUGUAAAGCACUUUCAAUUGGGAGGAAAACAGCUGGGUUAAUAGCCCUGCUCU
rnacentral:rRNA from 1 species